rnacentral:rRNA from 1 species
GACGAACGCUGGCGGCGUGCUUAACACAUGCAAGUCGAACGGAAAGGCCCUGCUUUUGUGGGGUGCUCGAGUGGCGAACGGGUGAGUAACACGUGAGUAACCUGCCCUUGACUUUGGGAUAACUUCAGGAAACUGGGGCUAAUACCGGAUAGGAGCUCCUGCUGCAUGGUGGGGGUUGGAAAGUUUCGGCGGUUGGGGAUGGACUCGCGGCUUAUCAGCUUGUUGGUGGGGUAGUGGCUUACCAAGGCUUUGACGGGUAGCCAGCCUGAGAGGGUGACCGGCCACAUUGGGACUGAGAUACGGCCCAGACGCCUACGGGAGGCAGCAGUGGGGAAUAUUGCACAAUGGGCGGAAGCCUGAGGCAGCAACGCCGCGUGCGGGAUGACGGCCUUCGGGUUGUAAACCGCUUUCGCCUGUGACGAAGCGUGAGUGACGGUAAUGGGUAAAGAAGCACCGGCUAACUACGUG